rnacentral:misc_RNA from 1 species
ACUAGUAUUGAAGUCCACGGGGAUCAGGCUUUCCGAAAGGAGGGUGGGGGGAUGUUUGGUUCCCCCUGCUUGGGCCAGACUGGAGAGCAUUGUGUAGCCACUUUUGUUGGCUACGUUAUGUUUGGCCUCUGCUGAUCGAGCUUGUCACCUGAAUUCUACUACCCUUGCUUUUUGCGCACCCAUUGUUUCCUCGGUAGGCUUGCCUGGCCAGUAGGACCAUUUAAAACCCUUUGUGAUUGCAAUCAGCGUCAGAAACAACGUAAUCGUUA